rnacentral:lncRNA from 1 species
UGCAACAUCGCAAAUAGCCGGUUAUAAACACACAUACAUAAAAUGUCGAUUUUCAAAGAAUCGACUCAAGAAUUUGCAAACAAAAUAGAAAAGAUUCAGAACUCACACUUGAUUUACGAUCAAUGACUUUCAGACACCGGCUCGACGAUAAAGGAGCAAAGCUCUCUGAAAUUCGCAAGCAAAACCGAUUCCCAAAAAAAAAGAAAAAAGAAAAAGAAAAGAAAAUAAAUGAGAGGGAGAUGAGAACGUGAAAAGAAAGAAAGUAGCGCACACACAAUGAUUCGAACACACAUCCCAGAGAUACAUUAACACGCAACUAACCGCCAGACCAGCAGGCCUAUUCUAACAUCAAAACGC